AGACCUCUGAUCAGAAAAGACUACCCGCUGAGUUUAAGCAUAUCACUAAGCGGAGGAGAAGAAACUAACCAGGAUUUCCCUAGUAACGGCGAGCGAACCGGAAAGAGCCAGCUUGAAAAUCGCGGCGCUGCGCGCCGCGAGUU
rnacentral:rRNA from 1 species